UUACAAAAGAAACAAUAAGAAAUCUUAAAGGAAUUGAAAGAAAAUCCACAAUAAAUCUUAAAAGAAUUCUUAAGAAGUCCUAAAAAAUAUUAAAAUAAUCACAAAUAUAUCUUUAAUAAAUUUCAAUCAAUUUCUAAUUUAAUCCUAAUUAAAAUCCUAAUGGACUUCAAUCAAACUCUAAACAAAUCCUAAAUCCUAAACCAAAUUUCAAAUCAAAUUUUAGAUAAAUCCUAAAUCCUAAAUUCUAAAUCAAAUCUUAAAUCUUAUAUCAAAUCUUAAAUCAAAUCUUAGAUUUUAAACCAAAUCCUAAAUCAAAUCCUAGAUCAAAUCUUAGAUCUUAAACCAAAUCCUAAAUCAAACCCUAAAUAAAUCCUAAAUCCAUAAUCAAAUCCUAAAUCAAAUCUUAGACAAAUCAUAAAUCCUAAACCAAAUCUUAGAUCAAAUCCUAGUUCCUAAAUCAAACCUUAAAUCAAACCGUAGAUAAAUCCUAAAUUCUAAACUAAACUUUAAACAAAUCUUAAAUCCUAAAUCAAAUCCUAAACUUAAUC
rnacentral:lncRNA from 1 species